rnacentral:rRNA from 1 species
UCGAACGCGAAAGGGGCUUCGGCCCUGAGUAGAGUGGCGAACGGGUGAGUAACACGUGGGUGACCUACCUUUGAGUGGGGGAUAACGUCCCGAAAGGGACGCUAAUACCGCAUGACAUCCUGCUUUUGAAGAGGCGGAGAUCAAAGCCGGGGAUCGCAAGACCUGGCGCUUGAAGAGGGGCUCGCGUCCGAUUAGCUAGUUGGUGAGGUAACGGCUCACCAAGGCAACGAUCGGUAGCCGGCCUGAGAGGGCGGACGGCCACACUGGGACUGAGACACGGCCCAGACUCCUACGGGAGGCAGCAGUGGGGAAUUGUUCGCAAUGGGCGCAAGCCUGACGACGCAACGCCGCGUGGAGGAUGAAGGUCUUCGGAUUGUAAACUCCUGUUGCUCGGGACGAAUGGCUCCAACCUAACACGUUGGAGUGUGACGGUACCGGGUGAGGAAGCCCCGGCUAACUCUGUGCCAGCAGCCGCGGUAAUACAGAGGGGGCAAGCGUUGUUCGGAAUUACUGGGCGUAAAGGGCGCGUAGGCGGCCUUCUAAGUCGAACGUGAAAUCCCUGGGCUCAACCCAGGAACUGCGUCCGAUACUGGGAGGCUUGAAUCCGGGAGAGGGAUGUGGAAUUCCAGGUGUAGCGGUGAAAUGCGUAGAUAUCUGGAGGAACACCGGUGGCGAAGGCGGCAUCCUGGACCGGUAUUGACGCUGAUGCGCGAAAGCCAGGGGAGCAAACGGGAUUAGAUACCCCGGUAGUCCUGGCCCUAAACGAUGAAUGCU